GUGGGCUAACAUGGGAGGAAAAGAGGGAGGAGGAAAAGAAAUCUCAUGAUGUUCACUGCCAAGACGAGAGGGAUUUCCAUCAAAGGGCAGCAGGAGAGUGGAUGGAUGGAGUAGUGUGUGUGAUGCUCCAAUGCUUCACCACAGUCCUGUAAUCUCCCAUCUGGAAUGAGUAAAUCAAGACUCUGUAUAUGCUCAACCCUGCAGCCCUGACAGAUUUAUACAGUGCAAACUUGUGUUUCUAGGGCUCCAGAGGCAGAGAAAAUGUAAACUUUUUUGAGACAGUUUAUCACAGGGACUAGUGUGGUUUUGAAGGCUGCGUAUCAUAAACGCUUUAGGUGAGAAAUUGCUUGUUUUCAGGGUUUCAGAUUCACCUUUAUGAGUUGGUAUCAUUUUUGUAUAGGCAUGGUCAUACGGUUGGGUUACUUACUGCCCAAUAUGUAUUUUAAGAGAGGUGAACUUCUUGCUUCUAAUUCAAUGUAAUAGACAAGCUAUGCAACUGCCUAUCAUGUAUCUUUUCUAGUGCUCCAUAUACAUUAUCCAACACAAGAUUAUUUGUUUGAACAUAUACAGAGAUUCUUGCUUUCAAAACAGUAGAUGGAAACAUUUAAAACCAUUUUUGGCUGGGUGGCUGUUUCCCUUCUCUUCCACAAGUUCGAGGUCACAAUUUUAAACUGAGCGUGCGUCGUGUUUGGUGUCAGGGUUGGGGCGAUUGAAUGGCGGCGGCAGGGGAGCUGACAUCUAACAUGAAGGUUAAGUGACAGGCGGGGCACAAUAAGGUCAGCAUCGGCGUGUCACCCUUCCAGACCUCUCAGGAACAGAGCGGCAGGAAAAGGCCCAGUCAACUGCUUGCAGAUGUGUCUGGACGCAUGUUUCACUGACAAACACGAGGCAGGCGCCGCUCUCUGAUGUUCCCACUGGUCACUUCUAAUCUGCAUCUCACAGGCAAAGAGAGCUGCAACACUCCAGUCAGGGUUAGUGUGUGUAAUCUCAGACACCCAACCCAACUAACUUUGGCCCUUGACAGAAUAUUUUGACCAAUCUCCUGAUAGCUUACAUAUUUAGUUGAGUUGAGUAGCUCAAGUGCUAUGACAACUUAUGCAAGUGUUGUUAUUAUUGUUAUGUAAUUAAUGUACUUCAUGUACUGUAAUGCAGCACUUUGAAUUCCUGUCCUGUUUGUGUUGAUCUUUAUUUUUUUUAAUGUAAAUGACAAAAUCCUUUCCUUAGACCCACGUUAGGAAAAGAUGUUUUACAGCACUGUACAUGCAUUCUUCAAAGCACCACUGCAUCUCUGACAGCUGUUUUUAAUGCAUUUUUUUUAAAAACACUCAAACCUACAGCAUGGCUUCCCCGAGGAAAGGCCACUUUGGAAAAGAACAGAUACUUAGCUUAGAUCAGACGGUUUUUUUUGGCGUUAAGUAUGACAGCAAAAUUAUACAAUUUUUAAAGUUAUUCAAUAAAAACAGUGCAUUGUGGGGACAAUUUAGC